CAGAAAGACGUAGAAAAGCAUAUGCCUAUGAGAAUGUACUCCUGCUGGCAACAUAUUAUUACAGUGAGGUAGAUGAUUACAAUAAAGACAUAGAAAAGCAUAUGCCUAUGAGAAUGUACUCCUGCUGGCAACAUAGUAUUACAGUGAGGUAGAUAAUUACAAUGUGGGGACACUAACAAUAAAACAUUCGCUGCAUAACCCUUAGCUGACUCGUGGAGGACUUAGGAGCCACUGCUCUAAUGUUCCUGAUCUUUUAUACCCAAUGCUAUUUUUCCCAAUAGACUCUCAUAACUACCUGAAAGUGUGGGAAUAUUGCUUUAUGAAUGAUAUAUGCUGAUAAAUUGUGAAUAGAUAGCAACAUUAUCUAUGUCAACAUGUUAAUUUAUUUCACCACCCUGGUAAUGUCAC